rfam:Streptomyces sp. MP131-18 scaf_01, whole genome shotgun sequence.
CUUCACCGAACCCAGCCACAACGGGCGGCCCCCUUGGGGACGUUCCUGCCCGUAGGUGGCCAGCAGGGCACCGGCCUC